AGGACGAACGCUGGCGGCGUGCUUAACACAUGCAAGUCGAGCGGUAAGGCCUUUCGGGGUACACGAGCGGCGAACGGGUGAGUAACACGUGGGUGAUCUGCCCUGCACUCUGGGAUAAGCCUGGGAAACUGGGUCUAAUACCGGAUAUGACCUGCUCUCGCAUGGGGGUGGGUGGAAAGAUUUAUCGGUGCAGGAUGGGCCCGCGGCCUAUCAGCUUGUUGGUGGGGUAAUGGCCUACCAAGGCGACGACGGGUAGCCGACCUGAGAGGGUGACCGGCCACACUGGGACUGAGACACGGCCCAGACUCCUACGGGAGGCAGCAGUGGGGAAUAUUGCACAAUGGGCGAAAGCCUGAUGCAGCGACGCCGCGUGAGGAUGAAGGCCUUGGGUUGUAAACCUCUUUCAGCAGGACGAAGCGACAAGUGACGGUACCUGCAGAAGAAGCACCGGCUAACUACGUGCAGCACGCCGC
rnacentral:rRNA from 1 species